AUAUAUAUAUACACACACACACACAGAGAGAGAUAUGGAUCGAUAUAUAUCAAUCUUAUUGUAUCAAAACCAAAAAAUGGAGCUUUCUUGUGUGUGUGUGUGUGUGUGUGUGUAU